rnacentral:lncRNA from 1 species
GAAACUGAGGCCCAGAGAGAUCAAGGGACUGUGAAAAGGCUCAUAGCUUGUGUGGAGUAGGGCACAGCGGGGACUCCUAACUCCUGAUCCAGUGCUCUUUCUAAAACACCAGGCUGCCUCCUGAUUGGCAGCCAUUUCGGGGCACAAUGCAAAACCCUGGGAGCUUCGAGGAUGUGCCCUUUCUCCUCCAUCCUGAACUAAUGGAAAUCAAGGCUGAAGGCUGAGCCUGCCGGGGAGUCCACAAGAGCCCUUCAGUGCCACAGAGGCCUGGCCUGACUUUGGCAGGUCUCCAGCAGUGACCACAGAGUGCUAAAUAAUAAUAGGGUUGAAUUAUUUAUACAGAGGCCAAUGACUCAUGAGGCACGGUCCACUUCUAGAAGAGUGCCAGGGUCCCAAGUCUAAGGUGAGUGGCCACCAGAGGGAGGACUGCAGUCC